CCUACGGGGAGCUGCAGUGGGGAAUAUUGCACAAUGGGGGAAACCCUGAUGCAGCAACGCCGCGUGGGUGAAGGAGCGUUUCGGCGCGUAAAGCCCUUUCAGCGGGGAAGCAGAAAGACGGUACCCGACCGAGAAGCCCCGGCUAACUACGUGCCAGCAGCCGCGGUAAUACGUAGGGGGCGAGCGUUAUCCGGAAUUACUGGGUGUAAAGGGAGCGUAGACGGCCAGGUAGGCCUGAGGUGGAAGCACGGGUCCCAACCCCGGAACGCCUUUGGAACUGUUUUGCUUGAGUAUGGGAGGGGUAAGCGGAAUGCGUGGUGUAGCGGUGAAAUGCGUAGAUAUCAGGCGGAACACCGGUGGCGAAGGCGGCUUACUGGACCAUAACUGACGUUGAGGCUCGAAAGCGUGGGGAGCGAACAGGAUUAGAUACCCGGGUAGUC
rnacentral:rRNA from 1 species